rfam:Desulfovibrio alaskensis G20, complete genome.
GGAGAGGUGUCCGAGCUGGCCGAAGGAGCACGAUUGGAAAUCGUGUGUACCUUAACAGGGUACCGAGAGUUCGAAUCUCUCCCUCUCCG